UACGUAGGGUGCAAGCGUUAAUCGGAAUUACUGGGCGUAAAGCGUGCGCAGGCGGCUUCUCAAGUCAGGGGUGAAAGCCCAGAGCUCAACUCUGGAAUUGCCUUUGAGACUGAGUGGCUUGAGUACGAGAGAGGUGAGUGGAAUUCCCAGUGUAGAGGUGAAAUUCGUAGAUAUUGGGAAGGACACCGGUGGCGAAGGCGGCUCACUGGCUCGUAACUGACGCUCAUGCACGACAGCGUGGGGAUCAAACAGG
rnacentral:rRNA from 1 species